UUCCGAUCUAAUUAGCGUUCGGGGUCUUUUGAGAGAUUUUCUCUGUACUCCGUCCUUCGACAUUAAUAAAUUAUUUGCUCCGUCUUCGUCCGUGGACAUAGGCCGCUGGCCGAACCACGUAAAUAUUAGUGUGCUCUUUCCUUAUCUUUUCUUUUUCUGCAUUAAAUUAUUUUCUGGAUCUAUUUUUCGCCGUUCCGAUUUUAACACUUUAUAACUAAAUAUGGUAUCAAAGCAAGGUUUUAAGUUCGAGUGCCACCAAACUCCUAGCAUUAUUAAUUUUAUUUAUUUAUUUCAAGUCUAUAAAUAUUAAAGGCACUUUCACGAAUAGUUUAAAUUUUUAGAGAAUAAUGAUUGUUUCUUUUAAUUUAAGUUAUUUAACAGAUAUAAAACACACAACUGUUUCAUAUAAUUUAACAAAUCUAAGAUGCACAAAUCGUUUC
rnacentral:lncRNA from 1 species